rnacentral:rRNA from 1 species
UGAGGAAUAUUGGUCAAUGGACGAAAGUCUGAACCAGCCAAGUAGCGUGAAGGAUGACUGCCCUAUGGGUUGUAACCUUCUUUUAUACGGGAAUAAAGUUAGCCACGUGUGGCUUUUUGUAUGUACCGUAUGAAUAAGGAUCGGCUAACUCCGUGCCAGCAGCCGCGGUAAUACGGAGGAUCCGAGCGUUAUCCGGAUUUAUUGGGUUUAAAGGGAGCGUAGGCGGGUUUGUAAGUCAGUUGUGAAAGUUUGCGGCUCAACCGUAAAAUUGCAGUUGAUACUGGCGACCUUGAGUGCAACAGAGGUAGGCGGAAUUCGUGGUGUAGCGGUGAAAUGCUUAGAUAUCACGAAGAACUCCGAUUGCGAAGGCAGCUUACUGGAUUGUAACUGACGCUGAUGCUCGAAAGUGUGGGUAUCAAACA